GAUGAACGCUGGCGGCGUGCCUAAUACAUGCAAGUCGAGCGAACGGACGAGAAGCUUGCUUCUCUGAUGUUAGCGGCGGACGGGUGAGUAACACGUGGAUAACCUACCUAUAAGACUGGGAUAACAUCGGGAAACCGGAGCUAAUACCGGAUAAUAUUUUGAACCGCAUGGUUCAAAAGUGAAAGACGGUCUUGCUGUCACUUAUAGAUGGAUCCGCGCUGCAUUAGCUGGUUGGUAAGGUAACGGCUUACCAAGGCAACGAUGCAUAGCCGACCUGAGAGGGUGAUCGGCCACACUGGAACUGAGACACGGUCCAGACUCCUACGGGAGGCAGCAGUAGGGAAUCUUCCGCAAUGGGCGAAAGCCUGACGGAGCAACGCCGCGUGAGUGAUGAAGGUCUUCGGAUCGUAAAACUCUGUUAUUAGGGAAGAACAUAUGUGUAAGUAACUGUGCACAUCUUGACGGUACCUAAUCAGAAAGCCACGGCUAACUACGUG
rnacentral:rRNA from 1 species